rnacentral:lncRNA from 1 species
CCCUCCUCGGCGUGGCACUCGCCCUGGCUCUCUGUCCAAGUCCUCGCGUGCGUGCCUCCGCUGCAGCCGUGGCAGCUCUGCACGAGGCUCUUCCCGUGUCCAGGUCAUGCGUUUCCCCAGCUGCACAGUCCGUGUUCCGUUCCCAACACGAGAGCGGGUGUCGUGCAUGCCACCUGCCGACGUCUGCAGCGCGCUGGGCCCCCGUGCGGCUGCAGUGCAUAGACGGUGUAAAGCAGGAUCUCACGGUUUUGAAUUCGGGCUCUCCCAGGGACCAGGAGCAGGAGAAAGCAGCCGAGAGCGAGGCGGGCAGAGCAGGCGCAGCGCCGUCUCUGGCCCUCAGCAUCUUCUACGCCGGCAGAAAGGCCUAUUUGCUGCUUUGUUUGUUUGUUUCUGUUAGUUAUAAAGAAUGUCCCUUUUCUCACCGUACUUUACAAAUAGACUCAAGUUGCUGGCUGGGAGUUUCAGGGAUUUUCAGUCCUUUCUGCUACGUGGGAAGAAAUUGGGGUUUGGGGGAGGAGUGGUAUUGUUAAAAAAGCCGCCUGCGUUUCCGCACUGUCCGUGCUGACUUGCCGGGUCUCGUGUCUGGACAGCAGACCGCAGCGGGGCCGGGAAGGGCGACCUGCAGUCCACGUUGCUGGAAGGGCACGGCUCGGCCCCACCCGACCUGGACCUCUCCGCCAUCAACGAGAAAAGUGCAGUCAAAAAGACUCCACAAUUAGAAAAAACAUCAGAGAAAACGGCAUCGACGUCAUUUUCUGCCCCUCGGAAAAAGAGCCCGACCCGGUCCGAAGAGAUGGAGAUGAUGGAGUCGCAGACGCUGCUGCUGACUCUGCUGGCGGUCAAGAUGGAAAAGGGUCUUGCUCGGUUCGAAGAAGAGGCCGAAAAACACUUAUUAAAACUGUGCAAAGAGAAGGAGGAGCUGCAGAGAAAGACCCACGAGCUGCGGCGCAGACUUCUCCUCUGUCAGAAGAAGCGGGAGCUGGAGGAGGCGCUUGACGCCCAGAUAGAGAUGCUCAGUCCCUUCGAGGCAGUGGGCGAACGCUUCCAGGAGCAGUACAGGACGCUCGCCACGGCCCUGGACGCCACCCGGCACGAGCUGCCCGUGAGGGCGAUCCACCUGGAGGGCGACGGGCAGCAGUUCUUAGACGCCCUGCAGUCUGAAUUGGAGACCACUCAGAAGCUCCUGGAAGAUCUCGGCAUGGGCACUUCAGAAGAAAACGUGCAGGUGCUGGACCUACUGGGCGAACUCAAGGACGUGCCGUGAAAAAGACCUUGAGCUCCGAAGUAUCUCAGAAA